AGUGAACGCUAGCGGUAGGCCUAACACAUGCAAGUCGAACGGCAGCACAGUAAGAGCUUGCUCUUACGGGUGGCGAGUGGCGGACGGGUGAGGAAUACAUCGGAAUCUACUUUUUCGUGGGGGAUAACGUAGGGAAACUUACGCUAAUACCGCAUACGACCUACGGGUGAAAGCAGGGGAUCUUCGGACCUUGCGCGAUUGAAUGAGCCGAUGUCGGAUUAGCUAGUUGGCGGGGUAAAGGCCCACCAAGGCGACGAUCCGUAGCUGGUCUGAGAGGAUGAUCAGCCACACUGGAACUGAGACACGGUCCAGACUCCUACGGGAGGCAGCAGUGGGGAAUAUUGGACAAUGGGCGCAAGCCUGAUCCAGCCAUACCGCGUGGGUGAAGAAGGCCUUCGGGCUGUAAAGCCCUUUUGUUGGGAAAGAAAAGCAGCAGGUUAAUACCCCGCUGUUCUGACGGUACCCAAAGAAUAAGCACCGGCUAACUUCGUG
rnacentral:rRNA from 1 species